UCCAGACUCCUACGGGAGGCAGCAGUGAGGAAUAUUGGUCAAUGGCCGAGAGGCUGAACCAGCCAAGUCGCGUGAGGGAAGACGGCCCUACGGGUUGUAAACCUCUUUUGUCGGGGAGCAAAGCGAGUCACGUGUGGCUCAUUGAGAGUACCCGAAGAAAAAGCAUCGGCUAACUCCGUGCCAGCAGCCGCGGUAAUACGGAGGAUGCGAGCGUUAUCCGGAUUUAUUGGGUUUAAAGGGUGCGCAGGCGGAGGUGCAAGUCAGCGGUCAAAUUGCGGGGCUCAACCCCGUACUGCCGUUGAAACUGCAUCCCUUGAGUGCGCGAGAAGUAUGCGGAAUGCGUGGUGUAGCGGUGAAAUGCAUAGAUAUCACGCAGAACUCCGAUUGCGAAGGCAGCGUACCGGCGCCCAACUGACGCUGAAGCACGAAGGCGUGGGUAUCGAACAGGAUUAGAUACCCCGGUAGGA
rnacentral:rRNA from 1 species